GUUUCAAUUUUUUUUU
rnacentral:sRNA from 1 species